CUUUUUAAAAACUAAUCAAAAGAAAAUUUCUCCCCCCUGUCUUUAGAAAGAGAAAAAAUAUUAUUCAGUGAGAUAUUUCAGUUUAAAGUUUUUACUGUUUUCUACAAUUAUAUUUAAAUUUCUGUGAACAGAUCACUGAGUAACUAAAGCUGAUGCUUGAAAAAGUGACCUCGCUCCUUCCAAUUCCCAGUGACAGCUCUCCAGCAAAUACCAUCAUGUCCAACUUUACAUGGCUUCCCUUCAUCUUCAGUUGCUACCAAUAGCAACAAGGGAGGUUAAUCUUUCUGGCCGUCUGCAGCUGUGAACUGACUCAGCGUUUGCAUUUCCUGAUGAUAGGCUGAUAAAAGUGGCAUAAAUCAUCCUCUUGAGAACUGUGUAUAAAUACAUCUUGUCAAACGCAGGAGUUUCGGGAAGACUCAGAAUUAGACACCCCAGACCUCUCUGGAGUCUUACACUGGCUCUCCAUUACAGCAUUGGAUAAUCCUUUAUACUCCACAUGAGGUUGUGUGUGUAUACAGAAGAAUCAAAUGUCUCAGCUCAAGCCCUUGAACUUCUGAUACUGUUUUACCUUGCUGGAUCUGUUUCAAGAUUAAAAUGCAAAGACCGUCAGCUUUUCAACAGGAAUAGGCUUCAAGUUUUACUCAGAGAACACACUAACAAGAUGAUUUACCUUCUGCCCUAA
rnacentral:lncRNA from 1 species